AUGACAGGCAGCCGGGUGCUGCUGUCUCUUCCUUUCUCUCCCCCAGGGGCCUUGCUGGCCCCUCCCCAGGGCACGGGUGUCAUUCAUGUGAAGUCUGAGAGCAGCCUUGGGGCAGCGGGCCUUCCCCACAGCACUGCAGGGACGACAAGGGAGGCUGCCUGGUGGAAGCACCAGAAUCCCCCACCUCCAGGGUCACGAAGGGGGUGCUACAGUGACACACUCGGCCCGAGGAUGCAAGCCCCACCCCCACCCUCCAACUGCGCCUGGCAUCCAGCAUCCGUAAGAGGUGUGGAGUCUCUACAGCUUUCCCCAUCCAUCCCGUUGGCCUCCUGCAUGCGCCAAAUAGUGGACACGGAGGGCCUGGCAGUGCCCUGCUGGACCCGGUCAUGGGCUAGCACACCAUUCCUAGCACUGGAGGCUCACAUUUGCACCUGCUUUGAAGAACAGCCCUGACCACUGAAGUAGCCUUUAUGGACACCUGGGAGGCGAGGUCCACCCCAUGGGGCAGCCGCAGCCCCCAUGGAUGGAUAGGCCCAGGAGCCACUAUGGCAAAUGCUGUUGCCUCCAAGAGAUACUCACCCCCAGGGCUCUGUGGGGUCAGGUCAGUUCCUGCAUGUUCCUGAUAAUCGAGGCUCUGCUUCUACUUAAGCAAGUAUCAUAAUUAGCAUCAGAAACUUAACAUUGACCAGAUAACACUGCCUAAUCUACAGAGCAUAUUCAAGUGCUUUUAAUCAUCACAGUAGCAUGCUUUACAGGAAAGAGGAAAAUUAUACACACACAGGCACACACACACACCUACUGCCUGGGUCAGCCCGGGAUCACAUCUUAGGUCUGGCUAUCAGACCUCUUCAACCUCUUCUUUGUCUUUCCUGACUUGACUUUUUUGAGGAGUCAGGACACUUAGUUUGUAAAAUGCAUCUCACUUUGGGUUUGCCUGAUGUUCCCUCCUGAUCAGCUUCAAGCUGUGUGUUCCUGGCAGGAAUUCUGAGCCCUUCUUAGAACAUGGGGUCAGGAGUCUCCUGAGGUCCAAGUGUCCUGCCGGGAACAUCACGGCUGAUGAGCUCCCAGGUAAAGGGACGUCAACCAAGAUUUCCACUGAGAGGUAGUAAUAUCUUUAUAACCUUGAGACAGUCUUCUGAUUUAUUGUAAUAACCAAUUAAAAAGUAUAUAGCUCCCUUGCUAAGACUAGGGAUGUGGCACUCUCUGUCCCCCUUCUGAUGUCUAUGUCAGAAGCUUUCUCACUUUAAUAAAACUCUGCUACACAAAAGCUCUUGAGUGAUCAAGCCUGGCCCCUGGUCCCGAAGCUAAAUCUUCAGAGAUCAUGAAGUGGACACCAUUCACCAUAAGCUAUCAGCAUGCAGUGCCCUGGAGGGUCUCCCAGUCAGCAUGCAGAUCCUGGUGGCAGAUGUGCCCUGAUGGGGCUUCCCUUGGGCAGCCCAGUGGGGCUGCAGUGACCUCAGCCAAGGCCUGUUGCCUCUACCGUGAGUGUCUUCAUUUGCUGUGCAUGUUCAGUUCAGUUCAGUCGUUCAGUUGUGUCUGACUCUUUGCGACCCCGUGAAUCGCACGCCGGGCCUCCCUGUCCAUCAUCAACUUCCAGAGUUUACUCAAACUCAGGUCCAUCGAGUUGGUGAUGUCAUCCAGCCAUCUCAUCCUCUGUCAUCCCCUUCUCCUCCUGCUCCCAAUCCCUCCCAGCAUCAGGGUCUUUUUCAGUGAGUCAACUUUUCGCAUCAGGUGGCCAAAGUAUUGGAGUUUCAGCUUCAGCAUCAGUCCUUCCAAUGAACACCCAGGACUGAUCUCCUUUAGGAUGGACUGGUUGGAUCUCCUUGCAGUCCAAGGGACUCUCAAGAGUCUUCUCCAACACCACAGUUCAAAAGCAUCAAUUUUUCGGUGCUCAGGUUUCCUCACAGUCCAACUCUCACAUCCAUACAUGACCACUGGAAAAACCAUAGCCUUGACUAGACGGACCUUUGUUGGCAAAGUAAUGUCUCUGCUUUUGCAUGGGGGUUGUCCAAAUACUAGUGUUUCCUGUGAAAUACAAAUACUUGUGUGAGGAGACCCCAGAAGAAUGUUUACAGCAGUGACCUUUAUAACAGUAAAAAGCAAAUAGAACUGAAAAUAACCCCAAUUCCACUUGCAAUGAGCAGACACAUGUGACCAGAAUGCUGUUUGACUGUAAAAACGUUUGGGCCACAGCGUCAAUGACCACACAAAAAGCCACGUGAAAAAACGCUUGUAACAGAAAAUGCACUUAGCAUGAUUAAACUUAUCAGCAUUAAAAACUGUGCAAAAUGAAACAGUGCUGUGCAAGCAGGGAGAAGGUAAAAUAUAUAGGGCACGUGAUAAAACAGUCAACGUCCAGGUGUGGUUUCCAGGGGGUAGAGAAGGGAGGCUGGGUGGAGGACCUCCACCUUCAGAGGACAUGUAGGAAGCAAAUGUUUAUUGGCUUUUAUAUUAACCCAUAUAUUUAUUAUUUUUAAGUUCAUUUCCCCCUGUGGAUCUGAGAUUUCAUCUGCUGUUGUUUCCAACAUAGCAUCAGUCCUACCCCCUCCUUGUGACAAAGGUCAGGUGUAUUAUAGGCCCAAUGAUACAAUUUUAUAGAUACUGUUUUCUACAAUUGUUUUUUAAGUCAGGAAAAAAAGAAAUAUGUAAUUGUACUGCCUCUAUAAUUAAGUAAAUACUAACUUUACUGGUGCUCUUGGUUCAUGAGUUUGUGUGGACUUGAAUUGCUGUCUGAGGUACUGUGCUUCUAGCUCAAAGAAAUUCCCAUAGUAUGUCUUGUUCAGCAGGCCCACUAACAAUAAAC
ensembl:lncRNA